CAAAUAAUGAAAUUACCAAAAAUCAACAAGUCGAUGAACUCAUGGUAAAAAUUGAUCUUUCUUGUUUUUUUUUGAGACAGAAUCUUGCUCUGUUGCCCAGGCUGGAGUGCAGCAGCAUGAUCUCGGCUCACUGCAACCUUUGCCUCCCGGGUUCAAGCGAUUCUCUUGCCUCAGUCUCCCAAGGACCUGGAACUACAGACAUGGAUGCCAAUUGGACCACAAGGAUGAGGCCACACCCUGCAAAGACUGGAGGCAUGAGCCGGAAGGAGCAGAGCCACAAGAUCAGCCUUGGGGUUCCCACCUCCAUGAGCCGGAAGGAGCAGAGCCACAGGACCAGCCUUGGGGUUCCCACCUCCAUGAGCCGGAAGGAGCAGAGCCACAGGACCAGCCUUGGGGUUCCCACCUCCAUGAGCCGGAAGGAGCAGAGCCACAGGACCAGCCUUGGGGUUCCCACCUCCAUGAGCCGGAAGGAGCAGAGCCACAGGACCAGCCUUGGGGUUCCCACCUCCAUGCCUUCACUUGGGCAAGAAGUAAACUUCUAUCUGGUUCAAGCCACUUUUUGCUUUUGUUGUGAGAGUUUCACUUUGUUGCCCAGGCUGGAGUGCAGUGGAGCAAUCUCGGCUCCCUGCAACCUCUGCCUCCCAGGUUUAAGCUCUUCUCCUGCCUCAGCCUCCUGAGUAGCUGGGCUUAGAGGUGUGAGCCACCACACCUGGCUAAUUUUUGUAUUUUUAGUAGAGACAGGUUUUACCAUCUUGGCCAGGCUGGUCUUGAACUCCUGACCUCAAGUGAUUCCCCCACCUCGGCCUUCCAAAGUGCUGGGAUUAUAGGUGUGAGACACCACACCAGCCAUGCCACUGUUAUUUUAGGUGUUUUCAAAACGCACAGCUGGAGCCAAUCCUAACCAUUGUGGAAAGAAACGGCCUUAACUCAGACAUUUGAGGAGGCCCAACAGACCCAGUGUCUCCACAGGCUAUCUGGGAGCAUCCUGAGGGUAUCCCAGAGGUGGCUCAGGAGCCGUUGACUCCAUUCUUGGCUCUCCCCAGUGUCUUUCCUAUUGGAUGCCACAGUCUUGGCGUCCCUGCCCUCCUCUCUGUCCUGCCUCUUGCCGUUGCUGCUGGUAUCUAUUCUUAGGCAACCCUCACCAUCCCUGAAUCAGCCUGACCCUCUGGCUCUCUGGACUCUGCAGCCUUGGUGAGUACCCAUGAGCCAGCUCUGGUCCUAUGGAACGUACUCCCACCCUAGCUGGCCUGGCCCCACAUCCCACCCAGAGAAAGCUAAAUAAAAAUGCAAGACAAAAUUAGCA
rnacentral:lncRNA from 13 species